GGCACUUGCCUACACUCAAACGAAGGUUGAUUCGAGUUACUCAUUCCUUUUCAGCACAGGACCAGCAAGCCCAAGGCUUUUCGAACUCAGUUUUGAAGUGCUGAGCUCUUUCGACAUCGACCCACUCGCAACCCAAGUGAUCUUAGCGUGAGUUAGUAGGAACCCUUCGGCGAGCUUAGUAGCGCAUUAGGCCUUUGUUAAUUUUAUAGAUAACAUGGUUACUCUUUGGAUUGGUGGUGGCGAGGAGGAGGCUUGAUCGAAAAAAUCGUUAGUUGUGCUACGUACAUUUAAUUUCUUUUAGUUAGGAUAGUUGCAGUUAUUUCAUCUUGUAGUUGAGUUGUUAGUGGUUGAUUCUGUUUAGUUUUUAUGGUUUAAGGAUGUUUUAGGUUGUCAGUUCACUACUCUUUGGGGUUAUUAGUUUUGUUUAGCUUUUCGAACUGUGGGGUUGUAAUCUAUCAAGAAUAAUUAUUAAUACAUUUGGUCGUGUUGAUAUUCAAUUAGCUUGUGCUUCGUUGUCA